GUCCCUGUAGCUCAAAGGAUUGAGCAUCUGGCUACGAACCAGAAGGGUCCAGGUUCAAAUCCUGGCAGGGGCU
rnacentral:tRNA from 1 species